GGAAUAUUGGACAAUGGCCGAGAGGCUGAUCCAGCCAUGCCGCGUGCGGGAGGACGGCCCUAUGGGUUGUAAACCGCUUUUGUUGGGGAGCAAUAAGGUCUACGUGUAGACUGAUGAGAGUACCCAGCGAAUAAGCAUCGGCUAACUCCGUGCCAGCAGCCGCGGUAAUACGGAGGAUGCAAGCGUUAUCCGGAUUUAUUGGGUUUAAAGGGUGCGUAGGCGGGUGAAUAAGCGUGAGGUGAAAUGCCCUGGCUCAACCAGGGAACUGCCUCGCGAACUGUUCGUCUUGAAUGCUCCUGCCGUGGGAGGAAUGGGUAGUGUAGCGGUGAAAUGCAUAGAUAUUACCCAGAACACCGAUUGCGAAGGCAUCUCACGAAGGGGCUAUUGACGCUGAGGCACGAAAGCGUGGGGAUCAAACA
rnacentral:rRNA from 1 species